UCGUUUGAUAUGUUAGGACUGUUUAUAACAUGAGAUAAAUUAAUAAUUUACGUUUAAUCUAUAAGUUUAAAUAUAGUCAUAAGUCAUUUUGUUUGAUUUCGUAUUUAUGAAUAAUUUAAUACGAUAAAAAUUUUAUAUUUAAUACUAAUACAAAAUUAAAGAUAUUCAUCAUCAAAAGUGUAUGUCGGUAAGCGUGAUAAAGAUAAACAAAAAAAGUAUUAUGGAACGGAGGGAGUAAUGUGUUUUUUUAUGUCGAGGAUAUAUGUAGCACUCAAGAACCCAUGAAGAAAUUUAGACUCUUUCAGAAAAUUUCCUCUGUAUUUUUCUUAUUACACACUAAAAUGCAAAUAUAUUAGAAAAGAAUAUUGGGAAAGCUGAGAUAUAUUUGAGAAGAAGAAACAAGCUAGGGAGAGAAUCAUGAAGAAAUGUGAGUUGUGCAACUCCAUUGCAAGAAUGUUUUGUGAAUCAGAUCAAGCAAGCUUGUGUUGGCAGUGUGAUGCCAAGGUUCAUUCUGCUAACUUUUUAGUGGCUAAGCACUCUAGAACUCUUCUUUGUCAAUCUUGUCAAGCUCUUACUCCAUGGACUGGCUCUGGUCCUAAGCUUGGACCCACUCUUUCAUUUUGUGAAUCUUGUGUUCAUGAAAAUACUAAUUACAAUAAUGAUACUGAUGAGGAUGAUGAGGAUGAAGAGGAUGAUGAAGAUGAUGAAGAAGAUGAGGAGGAAGAUGACGGUGAGAAUCAAGUGGUUCCUCUUUCAUCUUCAUCUCUGGCUCCUCCACAAGUUACAAGCUCUUCUAGCAGUGAAGAGUCUUCUGCUAGAUUGUUUAAUGGUGCAGAAAGUAGCAGAAAAUCAAGAUUCUCCAUCUCAUGGAGUAGAACUAGAUGAUUUUUUAGAAAAGGGAAAUGAAAUGGAAGAUGAAGAGGAGUGAUCCAAUAACACUGCUGCUCACUUUAGCAUGUUGCUUGAUCAACUUCAACUUAAUGUUAAUUUGUAACAUUACCUCUAACUGUGACCUCCUUGUAAUUAAAUCGGAGAUUAGUAACGUGUUCUAUAUCAUCGUACAGUCGUGUGUUAUAUUUA